AAGUAGUUUGUAUUUCUACUGCUUUUUCUUCUUUUUGGUACUCUAUGUUGAAUUUUGUUAGAUAUAAUGAUUUGCAAGAGUUAAUUUUUUUUUAGUCCUUUGUAAGGAGCUAAAGAUUAAAAGGGUUUGUUUAGAAUAAACUAUGUGCCAGCAUUCGCGGUUAUACAUGCUUUAAAUUGAGAAAAAAUUCCCAUUGGGGUGUCUAUUUUAGUAGACCUGUAUUUUAAUUUAAAAGAUUUUUCGGUAAAAUGAAGAAUUUUAAGAAAGAUAACUCAAUUUUAGACUUUAAAGCCAAUAUAAGAGACUAGGAUUAGAUACCCUAUUAUUUAAGCUAAAAUCUUACCCACAUGGAGUAUAGGCGACAGCCUGGAAAACAAUAUACAUGGCGGUUGGUGAUAACCUAUUAGAGAAGCAUGUGAACUUAAUGAAUCUACCCAAGAUAGAAGUUCUAGAUUUUGAUAAAUGACCAUUUUGUACACCGCUAUCUGAAAAAUUCUGUCAUAAUAGAAUUUUAAUCAAAAGUUUCUGAAUAAGGUAAGUUAAGGUGCAGAUGAUGAUCUAGUAUUUAUGUGCCUCUCUCUUAUUCUUAUGGAAAAAGACAUGAAAACUCUUAAAUAAAAAGAAUUUAACAGUAAAUAUAAGUUGAUCAAACUUUAUUGAAGAGGUAAUCUCUGAUGUACAAAUUGCCCGUCAAUCCUUUGUAGCGGAAGGGUAAGUCGUAACACAGUUGGUCUACAGGAAUGU
rnacentral:rRNA from 1 species